GCCUGGGUGGCUCAGUCGGUUAAGCAUCUGACUUAAGCUCAGGUCAUGAUCUCACAGUCUGUGAGUUUGAGCCCCAUGUCAGGCU
rnacentral:tRNA from 1 species